rnacentral:lncRNA from 12 species
CCCCCCCCCCCCCCCCCCCCCCCCCCCCCCCCCCCCCCCCCCCCCCCCCCCCCCCCCCCCCCCCCCCCCCCCCCCCCGGCGCAGCAGCGAGCGGCUCCCGGCCCGGCUGCCCUCAGCGCAGCCCCAGCGCGAGGUGUUGCCGCGGGCAGGGGGCUGCGCUGUGCCGCUGGCUCCCCGGGCAGCCCCCGCCCCGCAGGAGGCACCUCGCAUCCAAGAGAACCAUUCUAGUCAUGAGGACCUGAGACCUGCUGAAUGCAGCCAGAUGAAAAGUCUACCUAACCUAGUAAGUAGAUACUUAUGGAAAAAAUGUCCGGAGGCGGUCAUGCUUACAGUGAUUUUUUCCAUCAUGCUCUUCAGGCCUUCAGUGACUGGGAGACUCUUUUGUUCAACAGUUACUGCUGACCUACUGAAUAGAACUGCUGAAUCAAUGAAGUCAUGAUUUUUCUGAUCCAUGUACAGUUUGUGCCUCACAAUAACCAAUGAAAGUAAGUUUAGUUUAUUAUUACAAAAAAACCCCAUGCCUUCCAAUAUUCCAAUGUAAU